rnacentral:rRNA from 1 species
UACAGAGGCCUCAAGCGUUGUUCGGAAUCACUGGGCGUAAAGGGUGCGCAGGCCGCGCGGUAAGUUUUUUGUAAAAUUCAAGCGCUCAACGUUUGAUAGCAACUAAUACUGCCGUGCUAGAGAGUUUAAGAGGAAGUAGGAAUUCACGGUGUAGCAGUGAAAUGCGUAGAUAUCGUGAGGAACACCAAAGGCGAAAGCAUACUUCUGGGAAAUUUCUGACGCUCAUGCACGAAGGCUAGGGGAGCAAAUGGG